rnacentral:rRNA from 1 species
AGAGUUUGAUCAUGGCUCAGGAUGAACGCUAGCUACAGGCUUAACACAUGCAAGUCGAGGGGAAACGACAUCGAAAGCUUGCUUUUGAUGGGCGUCGACCGGCGCACGGGUGAGUAACGCGUAUCCAACCUGCCCAUCACUUGGGGAUAACCUUGCGAAAGUAAGACUAAUACCCAAUGAUAUCUCUAGAAGGCAUCUGAAAGAGAUUAAAGAUUUAUCGGUGAUGGAUGGGGAUGCGUCUGAUUAGCUUGUUGGCGGGGUAACGGCCACCAAAGCAACGAGUCAGUAGGGGUUCUGACGAGGAAGGUCCCCCACAUUGGAACUGAGACACGGUCCAAACUCCUACGGGAGCA